rnacentral:lncRNA from 1 species
UUAACUUUAGAUCAUUUUUAAAGGCCCAGACUUUAUUUGAUUUAUUUUGUUUUUAUUUGAGAAUUUUGUAGCUUUUACUGUUUUCCGUUUGAGGUUGAGUUUGGUUGUCUUUUUCAUAAUUAACCAAAAAAAAAAAAAGGUCAAUUGUUGUUGUUAUACUUGCCUUAUGUAACUUUGUCAAACUUCUUUAAAAAAGUUGUUUGAAUAAAAUUUUGUUAUAAAAGUGUUACAGGUUGAACAUUUGUGUCUGAGGAUCAAUUAUAAUUAUUUUUUUAUAAAUAAGGACCCAACGUUAUAUUUUUUCACAGCAGAAAAACAGCAUCAUUUUUGACUUUUCUCCAUCCGUCCUCACUCGUUUGAUCUGAGUGGAUUUCUUCCAUUCUUGAGCGUCCCGAUUCUCAAAAAACUGAAUUAUUUGACAAGAAAGUUUUCUAUCUGCAGAUAUUUACCAUCAGAAGAAGCUUUCAGGUCAGUGUGGCGUUUGUUGUCAUGGCGAUGUCUCUUCUUCCCACUCUGAGUGGGAGCCACUGGCCCCCGCUCAGAGCCUGAAUCCAGACGCCUCUGACGCCAGCAAGGACUCGUUGCCGUGGUUACGUGUCCAUCCACGGCUGGCUGUUUGAAGACUUUCUUGAUGUUCUCGUUCGUUUCCGGCGUGGCCGAGUUCCCUCUCCGGAACCGGGCUCUCAUAGGGACUUCAGACUUUACUUGUCCGGGAGGAGGAAAAACCAAAGGAAUGCUGGGAAAUGUAUCGCUCAGCUAUAUUUGAGUUCAAGCAAACAAACCUUCCUGGAUAUCAACACAUCGUCAAUAUGUUGAAACACCAAACUUCAGAAAAAAGCUAGUUUUCCUGCUGCAUUCAUCAUCAUCAUCAUCAUUCACCUGCUAAAGGACAGAGUUCUUCCCUCUUAUGUAGAAGUCAACCAGGUGGACCCUC